GGCGUCCUAGUCGGUCAAGGCCGCCAGAGCCCGCGCCUCGGGGAGCGGCCGGGUAGGAACCGCGCCGAGAAGCAGCGGCAGAGGGAACGCCCCGGGGCACCCGACCGAAGUUUGACAACAGGAGGCAUUCAAUAAAUGCACAUCAACGAGGGAAAGCAUGUAACAAUAGAAAACACACAAGCAUUAGCAGCACGCGGCUAAAGAGCGAGGAGGAAGGGAGGAAUGUACAGGUGCUGCUGUGUCCCGAAUUAAGCAGGGCGGUUUGGAGAAGACUUCACAAAUGGAGCCAGUUAAUGAAGCAAGCGGAAGGAAUAUCGUUUGGCGAGGAUAAGAUGAAUGGAGACCCUCUCGGGGAAGGAGGAGUCUCCCCCAAACAUCCUUGAGCUCAGUCUGUCUUGAAAAACCAGUUGAUAUCCUGAACAGAAUGGGUCUGGAGAAUGAGGCCCCCACUUCCGGGGCCAGUUCGAGGACUAUCUAGCUGUGUGAUCUUGGGGAAGUCUCUUGGUCCUCAGAUGGUGGUUGAACUAAUGACCUUUUAUGACACCCCCAGUUCUAUAAAUCAUUGAGUCUUCCUACUCCUAACUCCUUGCCUUCUCUAAUGCCUGAAUCGGAAACAAGAGAAAAAGACAAGAAGUAGGAGAUGAGAAAAAUAAGGCAAUACUUUUUUUUUUUUUUUUUGAGUUUAGGAGCGGAAGUUUAUAGGCAAAAGAAAAGGGAGAACAGCUGUCUUUCUUGCGAGAGAGAGGAGUGACCGAAUGCGACUUCUCAGAAAGCAAUACUUUUAACCUUCUGCUCAAGUAAAAGUGAGAGGGUACAAAAGCAGGAAGGAGUUCCACAUGACUAAUUAUUCCAGCCCACAGUGUUGAAUUUCCAUAGCACAGAAAGUCCAAUGAUAACAAAGCGUCCUGGAAUCUUUUCUAAGUACCAUGCCUCUGUGCUGUCCAGACAUCUCAACAUAAAGGUCGAGGGAGGUGGUUACUCUAUCAAAUCUUUGUGAUGUGAUUUGGAGAAAGAAGGUAAUGAAGCUGUAAGAAGCUUUAGUGGAACCAUCGGUUUCAGAUUGAUUGUUUAAUUCAGCCAUGUGUUGACUUAGCAAAAAUGAGAAUGAGAAAAUCCUAUGAA